rnacentral:rRNA from 1 species
GAUGAACGCUGGCGGCGUGCCUAAUACAUGCAAGUCGAGCGAACAGACGAGGAGCUUGCUCCUCUGACGUUAGCGGCGGACGGGUGAGUGACACGUGGAUAACCUACCUAUAAGACUGGGAUAACUUCGGGAAACCGGAGCUAAUACCGGAUAAUAUAUUGAACCGCAUGGUUCAAUAGUGAAAGACGGUUUUGCUGUCACUUAUAGAUGGAUCCGCGCCGCAUUAGCUAGUUGGUAAGGUAACGGCUUACCAAGGCAACGAUGCGUAGCCGGCCUGAGAGGGUGAUCGGCCACACUGGAACUGAGACACGGUCCAGACUCCUACGGGAGGCAGCAGUAGGGAAUCUUCCGCAAUGGGCGAAAGCCUGACGGAGCAACGCCGCGUGAGUGAUGAAGGUCUUCGGAUCGUAAAACUCUGUUAUUAGGGAAGAACAAAUGUGUAAGUAACUAUGCACGUCUUGACGGUACCUAAUCAGAAAGCCACGGCUAACUACGUG